rnacentral:lncRNA from 1 species
GCGGCCAAGAUGGCGCUAGCGGUUGGAGCAGGGGCUCUGCUGCGACCUUUACGGUAGUGAGGUUAGGGACGAUGGGAGAGCAGCUUUGUUCCUGAAGUGCCGUCGAGGAUUAGGAUCGAGUUUCUUCGAUCGUGAGGGCAAUUAUUAGUGGCCUCUAGCCCCCCAGAUGGCAUCUUGAGGAGAGAGAAUCCACGCUACGAGAACUAACAUAGUGGACAUCGCAGUUGUCCGUAGCCGAUUUGCGGGUUACGGAGUUGUUGCAAGUAAAGAAGGGGAAAUCCGAGCGUUCUCGCGUUGGAUUUCCUCCACGUGUGAAGUGGGAAUGGUAGUGAUAUCUCGUGCUAUCUCUGUCAAGGGCAAGAAGGAGAAGGAAUUUAUUUGAGGCCCUACGACGUGAACUGCCGGGCACAGUGGCUCACUCCUGUAAUCACAACACUUUGAGAUGCCGAGUCGGGAGGAUCAUGAGGUGAGGAGUUUGAGACCAGCCUGGCCAACGUAGCGAAACCCCGCCUCUACUAAAAAUACAAAAAAACAGCCAGGCGUGGUGGCGGGCACCUGUGAUCCCAGCAACUCAGGAGGCUGAGGCAGGAGAAUAGCAUGAACCCGCGAGGCGGAGCUUGCAGUGAGCCGAGAUCACGCCACUGCACUCCAGCCUGGGCGACAG